AGUGGGGCGUCGCGCGGAUUCCCGCUGGCCAUGGAGGGCACCGCCGUGGCCGUCAGCGAGAUUUUGAAAUAUUUAAUAAUUUACUGGUCGUGUGAAACAGGAGUAUCCAAGGGAGCAUUGCUAGAAGGGCAGCUAGUAAUUUCCAUCAAAGCAUCAACUUCUAAGAAGCAAGCAAGCAUCCUUCACUGCAAAACAACCAUUGCUUCUGUGGGAUGCAUUUACAGUGGCUUUGUCCUGAAGAAAUUUCUAAAAGGUUGAUGAAAAGCCCAGAAUACUGACAAGAGAUUGUCUGAUUAUAAAGCAUUUUUUACACAGAAUCAUCGUGGUGCAUCCUAAGAUAAGAUUUAACUUCCGG